GACGAACGCUGGCGGCGUGCUUAACACAUGCAAGUCGAACGGAAAGCCCUGCUUUUGUGGGGUGCUCGAGUGGCGAACGGGUGAGUAACACGUGAGUAACCUGCCCUUGACUUUGGGAUAACUUCAGGAAACUGGGGCUAAUGCCGGAUAGGAGCUCCUGCUGCAUGGUGGGGGUUGGAAAGUUUCGGCGGUUGGGGAUGGACUCGCGGCUUAUCAGCUUGUUGGUGGGGUAGUGGCUUACCAAGGCUUUGACGGGUAGCCGGCCUGAGAGGGUGACCGGCCACAUUGGGACUGAGAUACGGCCCAGACUCCUACGGGAGGCAGCAGUGGGGAAUAUUGCACAAUGGGCGGAAGCCUGAUGCAGCAACGCCGCGUGCGGGAUGACGGCCUUCGGGUUGUAAACCGCUUUCGCCUGUGACGAAGCGUGAGUGACGGUAAUGGGUAAAGAAGCACCGGCUAACUACGUG
rnacentral:rRNA from 1 species